GGCCAAGGCCGGUGAUAGCGCUAUGUAGGUCCUCGUCGGCCAGAUGUACUGCAGUGGCUAUGGUGUGUCCAGAGACCCUCAAAAGUAUUCUUGGCUAUUACAAGGCAUUCUAGAAGGAAGUUGAUUAUGUGAAGCAUUUAUGGAAGAACAGGCAAGUGCUGAAGGUUGAAGAUGCUGGUAUUGCAGCUUUAUUUGGGCUGGAAUGUCUUGCAUGGUUUUGUUCUGGGGAGAUUGUGGGAAGGGGAAAUUGUUUUUCUUCAUUUCAUUUUUUUUUCUGCAAUUCUCCUAUAAUCAAUUUUUCAUCUAUCUAGACUUCUAUGAUUUAAUGUUUUGCUUGUUGCAGGAUCCGGUAAGUUAGCGAAAAAGGUUGCCCCACCAGUUGAAAACCGGAACCAAGAGUAAUUGAAUAUAUUGGUGCUUAUGUAGACAUAGAAGGUUAUCUAGUUUACUGCAACACUCAGGUCUUUUAGAUCAAGUGGUUUUCCAUCAGCUUUAUGUGUCUGACCCUGCCAGCAUUACUUCUUUCGCAGUUUUCAUCAAAACCCAGUUCGGGAAACUGGAUAUCUUGGUAUAUAUGAUUCAAAACUGAUUUCUUUAUCUACUUUUUCAUUCUUACUGAACAUCACCAAAUUUGUUAUGUAUCCUUCAUGACAAGGUUGGACAGGUGGUUGAAUUUUUUAUUUCUUGUAGGAACUCGUUGGCUUCUUUUUCUUAGUUAUUAUUGUCAUUAUUAUUAUUA